CCCCACUGCCGAGACUCGCUACCUGCGUAAGCAGUCAUGAGGGGAGUGGGGGAAACUGCUCACAGCACAGAAAUGCCUCCCCUCCACCUGAAUGCCAUCCAGGAUGCACUCUCCUCCACCCAGAUGUGUGACAGGCUGUCCCUUGUGGUGGCUGGACAGGGACCUGGUCACCGCCUCAUAGGAGCUGGCACCCGGUCUUCAGGGUAUCCAGUGUCUGACUGAAGGUCUGAAUGGACUCAGCCCCAGAAAGUACCCCAAGUCAAUUGAGGAUCCCACAUGGAAAACACCCCACCGACACACAUACCUGGAUGUGUACAGUUUUGGAGCCAGUGGCUCAGGUGCACUGGGACCAGUGCUGACCACUCUCCCUUGUCUGGCUCAGUGCUAGGGCCAGGUAGUCUCGGAGUGCUGACAAAGCCAUGCAGGGCUGAGGACAGCCACAGGGAGUUGGGCUCGGCAUCAGUGUGCGCCUUUAAGGCAGUCAUUCCUGGACCCCAGUGAAGGCUUCCACUGCAUAGGCCGUGGGCAGGAAGGACAGCUGCAGCUUCAGCUGGCAGCUGUGAGGUUUGGAUUCACCAGGAUCAUAGAUGAUUCAUGGCUUGUGGGGACAGAACAGGAGAGGGGGCCGUGUGGAGAGAUGCCACUAUCUCUGAGCCUGUACCUUCUGGAAAGUUCUGCGGACAGAAACCCAGCCACAGUGUGUUUGACAUGCCAUCAUAUGGUAUUGCUCUUCAGGUGUGAAGGGGACAGCUGUCCACAGAAUGGCCAGAUCAACCUGCUGUGCAGAACGUGUCUUGUGCUUAUUCCUAUCCAAAAUACAUCAGUAACAGAAAUAUCUGAGCGUUCAUAGUCCAAGUAUUGAGAAUGAAAGGCAGAAAGAGAAAUUGAAAAAGAUACUUACUUUCAGAGAAUCAGAAACUACAAAAGGUUGAAGACAACAGAUGAUGUCUUUGAAGUGCUGAGAAAAUGUAGCCAAAUUUGAACCUCUGUUUAUAGAGAACAUCAUUAUCAGCCAAUGGGACUGACAGUUUUUUAAUUCUUUAUUGGGGGAUUAGUGGUUUACAGUUGAUAGUAAAAUACAGUAGUUUGGGAGUCAGGCAGUGGCACAGCAGGUUAAGCGCAGGUGAUGCAAAGUGCAAGGACCGGCAUAAGGAUUCCGGUUCAAGCCCCUGGGUCCCCACCUGCAAAGGAGUCGCUUCACAGGCGGUAAAGCAGGUCUGCAGGUGUCUAUCUUUCUCUCCCCCUCUGUCUUCUCUCUCCAUUUCUCUCUGUCCUAUCCAACAACAAUGACAUCAAUAACAACAAUAACUACAACAAUAAAACAACAAGGACAACAAAAGGGAAUAAAUAAAUAAAUAAAUAAAUAAAUAAAUAAAUACAAUAGUUUGAACAUGCAUAACAUUUCCACAUAACAAUACAACCCCCACUAGGUCCUCCUCUGCCAUCAUGUUCCAGGACCUGAGCGCCCCCACUCCUCCGUCUUUUACUUUGGUGCACCACACCAGUGAACUGACACUGUCACUUGACAAGAAGUACUAGAAAUAAGUUCUUCUUGGAUGGAGGUACAAUCAGAAGAGAGUAACUAUGAGGAACAGGAAAGAAUCUCAGUUGCUUAGUAGUGUUUAUAGUUACACAGAUUGCUCUGUAUCACGUGACAAGUAAGUGUGACUGCUGCUUGGCCUGACUUGCUCUGUAAAACCACAGUGAAUAAUGACGAAAGGGGGGAAGUAUAGCUCAGACCAAAUGAAGAUAAAAGAUGGAAUAAUACUUGAUUAAUUUUACAGAAGGCAAGAAAGGAAGGGUAAAGGACAAAUAAAUAGACUGGGGACCCACUCAUAUCAAUAAUUUAGUUAUUACAAAUGUACUAAACAUUUCAAUAAAAAUAAAAGAUUAUCCUACUUUUUUAGUGAUGUUGAUAGAAGAGAUAUUUUUUAUUUAAUUUUUUUUCCCUUUUGUUGCCCUUGUUUUUGUUACUGUUGUUACUGCUAUUGUUGUUGGAUAGGACAGACAGAACUGGAGAGAGGAGAGGAAGAUAGAGAGGAGAGAAAGACAGACACCUGCAGACCUGCUUCACCACCUGUGAAGUGACCCCCCUGCAGGUGGGGAGCUGGGGGCUCGAACCGGUAUCCUUACACUGGUCCCUGCACUUUGCGCCAUGUACGCUUAAUCCGCUGCACCACCACCCAGCUCCCGAUAGAAGACAUUUUACAGAUAAGAACUCAGAAUUUUUUAAAAAUAAAUUUUAUUUAUUUAUUUAUUUUUAAGAUAUUUUUAUUUUAAUAAGAGUGAGAAAGAGAGAUACAGGAAAAAGACUAGAGCACUGGCUGGGGGUUGAACCUGGGACCUCAGAGCCUCAGGCACUAAAGUCUUUUGCAUAACCAUUAUGCUAUGUCCCCAGCCCGAACUCAGAAAAAAUUUAAGCAAAAAAUAUUUUUAAAUAAAGCAAUGAAACCUCAACCUAGAGGAAGUAAUAUUCUUGGCCUGCUCCUGGAGGCCAUUUUUCAUUUUUAUUUGAUUGGACAGAGAGAAAUUGAGAGAGGAGGAGGGGGAGAUUGAGAGGGAGGGAGACAGAGAGAUACCUGCAGACCUGCUUCACAAAAUGUGAAGCAAUCCUCCUGCAGGUGGGGAGCUGGGGGCUAGAAUCCAGGUCCUUGCACACUGUAAUGUGUGCACUCAACCAGGUGCACCAUCACCUGGCCCUGCUCAGUUUUAAAAUCUGUUAAGUAAAACAUGAUGUCAUGGGGCCAGGCAGGGUUGUGCCUGGUUAAGUGCAUAUAUUACAGCACAUAAGGGCACAGGUUCAAGCUCCUGGUCCCCACCUACAGGGGAAAAGUUUCACGAGUGGUGAACCAGGGCUGUAGGUGUCUGUCUCUUUCCUUCUCUACCUUCUCCUCCUCUUCUCUCAAUUUCUGUCUCUAACCAUAAAUAAAUAAAUAAAUAAAAUAGAUAAAAACAACAAGGGCAACAAAAGGGGAAAAAUAAUAGAUACAUUUAAAAAAUUUUAAAGAUGAUGUCACCAGUUCACAACUAUAAUUUGGAUUCUUUGCACAUUUCCUGAGUAAUAGUAGAACCACAGGUGGAAUGUCAGUAAGGAUAGAAAAUUUUUUAGUCAUUUAUUUAUUAUGAGAGUGAGAAUUAGAGAGGAAAGAGCAGGAGAAAGACCAGUAUGCUCAGCUCUAGCAGAAGGAGAUGUCAGGGAUUGAACCUGCAUUCCCUGGGCCAUCAGGCUUGCAAGUUGGUGCUCUAACAGACUGAACUAUUUCCUCUGCCUAAAGAUUGAGAAUAUUUGAAUACAUUCUUCAGAUGUUAAGUUGUCCCUGAAUCUCUAGUCUACCCACCAAUCAUUGCUCUUCUCUGUCUGCAUUCAGUUUGCUGUUUGCUUAGAAGUUUUGCAUGUGUUCAACAUGUGUUGGUCUCUAACAAUGCAACGAAUGAAUUUGAGCAUCAACAGUAAAUGAGUGCAGAUUAUUCUAUAAUAAUACA